rnacentral:rRNA from 1 species
CGGGAGGCAGCAGUGGGGAAUUUUGGACAAUGGGGGCAACCCUGAUCCAGCCAUGCCGCGUGCGGGACGAAGGCCUUCGGGUUGUAAACCGCUUUCAGACGGAAAGAAACAGCACAAGAUAAUACCUUGUGCGAAUGACGGUACCGUCAGAAGAAGCACCGGCUAACUACGUGCCAGCAGCCGCGGUAAUACGUAGGGUGCGAGCGUUAAUCGGAAUUACUGGGCGUAAAGAGUGCGCAGGCGGCUCUUUAAGACAGGUGUGAAAUCCCCGGGCUUAACCUGGGAAUGGCGCUUGUGACUGGAGAGCUAGAGUGUGGCAGAGGGGAAUGGAAUUCCUGGUGUAGCAGUGAAAUGCGUAGAUAUCAGGAGGAACACCAAUGGCGAAGGCAGUUCCCUGGGCCAACACUGACGCUCAUGCACGAAAGCGUGGGGAGCAAACAGGAUUAGAUACCCUGGUAGUCCACGCCCUAAACGAUGUCAACUAGUUGUUGGGGGAGGAGACUCCUUUAGUAACGAAGCUAACGCGUGAAGUUGACCGCCUGGGGAGUACGGCCGCAAGGCUAAAACUCAAAGGAAUUGACGGGGACCCGCACAAGCGGUGGAUGAUGUGGAUUAAUUCGAUGCAACGCGAAAAACCUUACCUACCCUUGACAUAUGAGGAACUUGUGAGAGAUCACUUGGUGCCCGAAAGGGAACCUCAAUACAGGUGCUGCAUGGCUGUCGUCAGCUCGUGUCGUGAGAUGUUGGGUUAAGUCCCGCAACGAGCGCAACCCUUGUCAUUAGUUGCUACAUUUAGUUGGGCACUCUAAUGAGACUGCCGGUGACAAACCGGAGGAAGGUGGGGAUGACGUCAAGUCCUCAUGGCCCUUAUGGGUAGGGCUUCACACGUCAUACAAUGGCGCGUACAGAGGGUUGCCAACCCGCAAGGGGGAGCUAAUCCCAGAAAGCGCGUCGUAGUCCGGAUUGUUCUCUGCAACUCGAGAACAUGAAGUCGGAAUCGCUAGUAAUCGCGGAUCAGCAUGUCGCGGUGAAUACGUUCCCGGGUCUUGUACACACCGCCCGUCACACCAUGGGAGUAGGUUUCACCAGAAGUAGCUAGCCCAACCGUAAGGAGGGCGGUUACCACGGUGGGGUUUAUGACUGGGGUGAAGUCGUAACAAGGUAGCCGUCCCUAUAG